rnacentral:lncRNA from 1 species
GGAGGGGCGUGGACCCAAGAAGUCCCUGUGCGCUUGCGCAGAGACCGAACUACCGCUUUCCCCGUAACCAGGGAGACUGCAGUUUGCAGUGAUGUGGCUAAGAUACCCUUGUGCUAUUAAAGGCACAUUUACGUAUCUUUCAACGCAGUUUGUACCUUUGUUUAGGGUUCUAUUGAACUUUCUCUGUGCUCUUUAGAAAACCGUCGAAUAAAGAACUCAAAUGAUGCUGUUUUUGGACAGGGAGGUCAUGGACCAAGUACAAAGCGGCAAAAGGAUGGAAUUAAGGGAUAUUUCCAGUGAAAGAAAGAAGAAAGCAUGCUUUUCUCUUGACUGUGCAGAAAAAAAAACUAUGUUUCUUUGAUUCUCCAUUUUACUAGAUGCCAUACCUUUGCAAUUACUUCAUGUGGAGUCUUGACCAAGAUUCAGGAAAUACUAGAACUUUCAGUCCCAGAAGGUUACUCUGGGCAUUACUAGUCCCCAUCAUUAUGAGUUGAGUUUUACUAGUUAAUUUCAGACGAAAAAUAUUUGUUUUUCCCCAAAUUCUGGGGUUACGUACUUUUACUACCUAUGAACUGACAACUGUAUCUUCAGUAAUUACAAUUUCCAACAAAAUGUUAUAGGAAUAAAGAAAAGAUG